UCUUGGAUUUAAAACCGUAUCAGUUAGUCAACUUUAUUAAUACCGGAAAAAAAGUCUUCAACAAAAUCCGUGGACAUUACAUUACUUAAAUGGAUUAGAUUUGAUAAAGAAAAAACACUUUUGUUACAGAAUAUAUGCCAGAACCAUAUACAGAAAAAAGUACUAAAUUUAUGUAUGAUUUGAUGAGACGUAAAGAAGCUCCACAUGAAAGCUGGCUAGAAUAUAGCACUCAGAUAGUAGAACAUGCAGAUACUUAUGAGUAAGCUGUUGAGAGGCUUACUGUUUUGAGAAUAGAAGAAUUCGCUUACACCACAGAUCCGGAAAUGAAUAAAAAAAACAAAACAA